rnacentral:rRNA from 1 species
CAAACAGGAUUAUAUACCCUGGUAGUCCGGAUUUUACCCCUACCCAACUAGUUGUUGCUAUGCUAGACAUAGCAGUAAUGCAGUUAACACAGUAAGUGUGCCGCCUGGGGAGUACGGUCGCAAGAUUAAAACUCAAAGGAAUAGACGGGGACCCGCACAAGCGGUGGAGCAUGUGGUUUAAUUCGACGAUACGCGAAGAACCUUACCUGGCCUUGACAUAGGAAGAACUUACUAGAGAUAGUUUGGUGCUAGUUUACUAGAACUUCCAUACAGGUGCUGCACGGCUGUCGUCAGCUCGUGUCGUGAGAUGUUGGGUUAAGUCCCGCAACGAGCGCAACCCUCGAAUUUACUUACUAACAGUUAGGCUGAGGACUCUAAAUUGACUGCCUGGGCAACCAGGAGGAAGGUGAGGACGACGUCAAGUCAUCAUGGCCCUUACGGCCAGGGCUACACACGUGCUACAAUGGGGUAUACAAAGAGCCGCGAUACCGUGAGGUGGAACAAAUCUCAUAAAAUAUCUCCCAUUUCGGAUUGAAGUCUGCAACUCGACUUCGUGAAGUUGGAAUCUCUAGUAAUCGUAGAUCAACAAUGCUACCGUGAAUACUUUCCCGGGUCUUGUACUCUCCGCCCGUCACACCAUGGUAAUUGAAUUCAUUCCAAGCGGGGAUGCUAAAAUAGCUACCUUCCACAGUGGAUUUAGUAACUAGGGUGAACUCGUAACAAGGUA